UACGGAGGAUGCGAGCGUUAUCCGGAUUUAUUGGGUUUAAAGGGUGCGUAGGCGGGCUGUUAAGUCAGCUGUCAAAGCCCGGGGCUCAACCUCGGCCCGCCGUUGAAACUGGCAGUCUCGAGUUGGAGAGAAGUAUGCGGAAUGCGCGGUGUAGCGGUGAAAUGCAUAGAUAUCACGCAGAACUCCGAUUGCGAAGGCAGCAUACCGGCGGCGAUCUGACGCUGAGGCACGAAAGCGUGGGUAUCGAACAGG
rnacentral:rRNA from 1 species